CGUCGCUGUUAGGGGUGUUCCUUUUCCACAGGGAAAGGAUCUGAGAUUAAACCCUUGCACCUGAUAUGUCGUAACGGCAUCGGAGGGAAACGGUCAGCUUGUCAC
rnacentral:ncRNA from 1 species